rnacentral:rRNA from 1 species
ACUUGUUGCUUCGGGGGCGACCCUGCCGUUUCGACGGCGAGCGCCCCCGGAGACCAUCAAACACUGCAUCUUUGCGUCGGAGUUUAAGUAAAUUAAACAAAACUUUCAACAACGGAUCUCUUGGUUCUGGCAUCGAUGAAGAACGCAGCGAAAUGCGAUAAGUAAUGUGAAUUGCAGAAUUCAGUGAAUCAUCGAAUCUUUGAACGCACAUUGCGCCCUUUGGUAUUCCGAAGGGCAUGCCUGUUCGAGCGUCAUUU